UACGGAGGGGGCUAGCGUUGUUCGGAAUUACUGGGCGUAAAGGGCACGUAGGCGGCUUUGUAAGUUAGGGGUGAAAGCCCGGGGCUCAACUCCGGAAUUGCCUUUAAGACUGCAUCGCUAGAAUUGUGGAGAGGUAAGUGGAAUUCCGAGUGUAGAGGUGAAAUUCGUAGAUAUUCGGAAGAACACCAGUGGCGAAGGCGACUUACUGGACACAUAUUGACGCUGAGGUGCGAAAGCGUGGGGAGCAAACAGG
rnacentral:rRNA from 1 species